GACGAACGCUGGCGGCGUGCUUAACACAUGCAAGUCGAACGGAAAGGCCCUGCUUUUGUGGGGUGCUCGAGUGGCGAACGGGUGAGUAACACGUGAGUAACCUGCCCUUGACUUUGGGAUAACUUCAGGAAACUGGGGCUAAUACCGGAUAGGAGCUCCUGCUGCAUGGUGGGGGUUGGAAAGUUUCGGCGGUUGGGGAUGGACUCGCGGCUUAUCAGCUUGUUGGUGGGGUAGUGGCUUACCCAGGCUUUGACGGGUAGUCGGCCUGAGAGGGUGACCGGCCACAUUGGGACUGAGAUACGGCCCAGACUCCUACGGGAGGCAGCAGUGGGGAAUAUUACACAAUGGGCGGAAGCCUGAGGCAGCAACGCCGCGUGCGGGAAGACGGCCUUCGGGUUGUAAACCGCUUUCGCCUGUGACGAAGCGUGAGUGACGGUAAUGGGUAAAGAAGCACCGGCUAACUACGUG
rnacentral:rRNA from 1 species